rnacentral:rRNA from 1 species
GUGCCAGCAGCCGCGGUAAUUCCAGCUCCAAUAGCGUAUAUUAAAGUUGUUGUGGUUAAAAAGCUCGUAGUUGAACCUUGGGCCUGGCUGGCCGGUCCGCCUCACCGCGUGCACUGGUCCGGCCGGGCCUUUCCCUCUGUGGAACCCCAUACCCUUCACUGGGCGUGGCGGGGAAACAGGACAUUUACUUUGAAAAAAUUAGAGUGCUCCAGGCAGGCCUAUGCUCGAAUACAUUAGCAUGGAAUAAUAAAAUUGGACGCGCGGUUCUAUUUUGUUGGUUUAUAGGACCGCCGUAAUGAUUAAUAGGGACAGUCGGGGGCAUCAGUAUUCAACUGUCAGAGGUGAAAUUCUUGGAUCAGUUGAAGACUAACUACUGCGAAAGCAUUUGCCAAGGAUGUUUUCAUUAGUCAGGAACGAAAGUUAGGGGAUCGAAGACGAUCAGAUACCGUCGUAGUCUUAACCAUAAACUAUGCCGACUAGGGAUCGGACGGUGUUAUUCAUGACCCGUUCGGCACCUUACGAGAAAUCAAAGUGCUUGGGCUCCAGGGGGAGUAUGGUCGCAAGGCUGAAACUUAAAGAAAUUGACGGAAGGGCACCACCAGGGGUGGAGCCUGCGGCUUAAUUUGACUCAACACGGGGAAACUCACCAGGUCCAGACACAAUAAGGAUUGACAGAUUGAGAGCUCUUUCUUGAUUUUGUGGGUGGUGGUGCAUGGCCGUUCUUAGUUGGUGGGGUGACUUGUCUGCUUAAUUGCGAUAACGAACGAGACCUUAACCUGCUAAAUAGCCCGCAUUGCUCCGGCAGUGCGCUGGCUUCUUAGAGGGACUUCGCUCAAGCCGAAGGAAGUUUGAA